AAAGCGUGCGCAGGCGGUUAUGUAAGACAGAUGUGAAAUCCCCGGGCUCAACCUGGGAACUGCAUUUGUGACUGUAUAGCUGGAGUGCGGCAGAGGGGGAUGGAAUUCCGCGUGUAGCAGUGAAAUGCGUAGAUAUGCGGAGGAACACCGAUGGCGAAGGCAAUCCCCUGGGCCUGCACUGACGCUCAUGCACGAAAGCGUGGGGAGCAAACAGGAUUAGAUACCCCUGU
rnacentral:rRNA from 1 species